UACGUAGGUGGCAAGCGUUGUCCGGAAUUAUUGGGCGUAAAGCGCGCGCAGGCGGUCCUUUAAGUCUGAUGUGAAAGCCCACGGCUCAACCGUGGAAGGUCAUUGGAAACUGGGGGACUUGAGUGCAGAAGAGGUUAGUGGAAUUCCAAGUGUAGCGGUGAAAUGCGUAGAGAUUUGGAGGAACACCAGUGGCGAAGGCGACUAACUGGUCUGUAACUGACGCUGAGGGACGAAAGCGUGGGCAGCGAACAGG
rnacentral:rRNA from 1 species